rnacentral:rRNA from 1 species
UACGUAGGGGGCUAGCGUUGUCCGGAAUCAUUGGGCGUAAAGAGCUCGUAGGCGGUCUGUCGCGUCGGCUGUGAAAACUCGGGGCUCAACCCCGAGCCUGCAGUCGAUACGGGCAGACUAGAGUGCUGUAGGGGAGACUGGAAUUCCUGGUGUAGCGGUGAAAUGCGCAGAUAUCAGGAGGAACACCGGUGGCGAAGGCGGCAUCCUGGACCGACAUUGACGCUGAUGAGCGAAAGCUAGGGGAGCAAACGGG